rnacentral:rRNA from 1 species
UACAGAGGUCCCAAGCGUUGUUCGGAUUCAUUGGGCGUAAAGGGUGUGUAGGUGGCGCCGUAAGUCGGGUGUGAAAUUUCGGAGCUUAACUCCGAACCUGCAUUCGAUACUGCGGUGCUUGAGGACUGGAGAGGAGACUGGAAUUCAUGGUGUAGCAGUGAAAUGCGUAGAGAUCAUGAGGAAGACCAGUGGCGAAGGCGGGUCUCUGGACAGUUCCUGACACUGAGGCACGAAGGCCAGGGGAGCAAACGGG